rnacentral:rRNA from 1 species
GACGAACGCUGGCGGCGUGCUUAACACAUGCAAGUCGAACGGAAAGGCCUGCUUUCCCUUGUGGAUUGCGGGUACUCGAGUGGCGAACGGGUGAGUAACACGUGAGUGAUCUGCCCCCAACUUUGGUAUAAGCCUGGGAAACUGGGUCUAAUUCCCGAUAGGACUGCAGGGUGGUGCCUGUGGUGGAAAACGAUUUUCUAGUGGUUGGGGAUGAGCUCGCGGCCUAUCAGCUUGUUGGUGGGGUAAUGGCCUACCAAUGCGGCGACGGGUAGCCGGCCUGGGAUGGUGGACGGGCACAUUGGGACUGAGAUACGGCCCAGACUCCUACGGGAGGCAGCAGUGGGGAAUAUUGCACAAUGGGCGGAAGCCUGAUGCAGCGACGCCGCGUGGGGGAUGACGGCCUUCGGGUUGUAAACUCCUUUCGACCGCGAGGAAGCCACCUGGUUGGAAGGGUGGUGACGGUAGUGGUAGAAGAAGCACCGGCUAACUACGUG